GGAUCAGAUAGCUCAGUGGUAGAGAAUCUGCCUUGCAUGCAGGAGGUCCCAGGUUCAAUCCCCCACAUCUCCA